ACAAAUUUUGAACUCAGCAGUGGUAACCCGCUGCUGUAGUUUCACUCCAAACCCUUCCAGACUCUUGGGUCUGUGUGAACAUUAUUGCCUACUAGCGGGUUAAAACAGCGGGAUUCGUCUUUGCUGGGUCUUCGGGUCACCCGCUAGCAGUGUUUUAAACUUGUAACAACUUCUAGUCAUUCUUUGUUUGAAAACACAAACAGAA
rnacentral:misc_RNA from 1 species